UGUUCCUACGGGGGGCAGCAGUGAGGAAUAUUGGUCAAUGGGCGGGAGCCUGAACCAGCCAAGUCGCGUGAGGGAAGACGGUCCUAUGGAUUGUAAACCUCUUUAGGCGGGGAGCAAUGCCGGGCACGUGUGCCCGGAGGGAGAGUACCCGCAGAAUAAGCAUCGGCUAACUCCGUGCCAGCAGCCGCGGUAAUACGGAGGAUGCGAGCGUUGUCCGGAUUUAUUGGGCGUAAAGCGAGUGCAGGCGGUUCAAUAAGUCUGAUGUGGAAGCCUUCGGCCCAACCGGCGAAUUGCAUCAGAAACUG
rnacentral:rRNA from 1 species